GAUGAACGCUGGCGGCGUGCCUAAUACAUGCAAGUCGAGCGAACGGACGAGAAGCUUGCUUUUCUGAUGUUAGCGGCGGACGGGUGAGUAACACGUGGAUAACCUACCUAUAAGACUGGGAUAACUUCGGGAAACCGGAGCUAAUACCGGAUAAUAUUUUGAACCGCAUGGUUCAAAAGUGAAAGACGGUCUUGCUGUCACUUAUAGAUGGAUCCGCGCUGCAUUAGCUAGUUGGUAAGGUAACGGCUUACCAAGGCAACGAUGCAUAGCCGACCUGAGAGGGGGAUCCGCCCAACUGGAACUGGGGACCCGUCCAGAACCCUAAGGGAGGGAGCAGUAGGGAAACCUCCGCAAUGGGGGAAAGCCUUACGGGACAACCGCGCGUGAGUUGUUGAGGUCCUCCGAACGGUAAAACCCGUUUUUAAGGAAAAACAUAUGUGGAAGGUACUGGUCACAACUUGAACGUUCCUAAUCAGAAAGGCCCCGCUAACCACCGG
rnacentral:rRNA from 1 species